UACGGGGGGAGCAAGCGUUGUUCGGAUUUACUGGGCGUAAAGGGCGCGUAGGCGGUCAGCACAAGUCAGUUGUGAAAUCUCCGAGCUUAACUCGGAAAGGUCAACUGAUACUGUGCGACUAGAGUGCAGAAGGGGCAACUGGAAUUCUUGGUGUAGCGGUGAAAUGCGUAGAUAUCAAGAGGAACACCUGCGGCGAAGGCGGGUUGCUGGGCCGAUACUGACGCUGAGGAGCGAAAGCGUGGGGAGCAAACAGG
rnacentral:rRNA from 1 species